UAGGGAAUCUUCGGCAAUGGGGGCAACCCUGACCGAGCAACGCCGCGUGAGUGAAGAAGGUUUUCGGAUCGUAAAGCUCUGUUGUAAGAGAAGAACGUGUGUGAGAGUGGAAAGUUCACACAGUGACGGUAACUUACCAGAAAGGGACGGCUAACUACGUGCCAGCAGCCGCGGUAAUACGUAGGUCCCGAGCGUUGUCCGGAUUUAUUGGGCGUAAAGCGAGCGCAGGCGGUUUAAUAAGUCUGAAGUUAAAGGCAGUGGCUUAACCAUUGUUCGCUUUGGAAACUGUUAAACUUGAGUGCAGAAGGGGGGAGUGGAAUUCCAUGUGUAGCGGUGAAAUGCGUGGAUAUAUGGAGGAACACCGGUGGCGAAAGCGGCUCUCUGGUCUGUAACUGACGCUGAGGCUCGAAAGCGUGGGGAGCAAACAGG
rnacentral:rRNA from 1 species